AUUGAACGCUGGCGGCAGGCCUAACACAUGCAAGUCGAGCGGAGCGGCGGACGGGUGCGUAAUGCCUAGGAAUCUGCCUGGUCGUGGGGGAUGACGUCAGGAAACGGGCGCUAAUACCGCAUCCUCUCAGAUGAGCCUAGGUCGGAUUGGGUAGUUGGUGGGGUAAAGGCAUACCAAGGCGACGAUCCGUAACUGUUCUGAGAGGAUGAGCAGUCACACUGGAACUGAGACAAGGCACAGACUCCUACGGGAGGCAGCAGUGGGGAAUAUUGGACAAUGGGCGCAAGCCUGAUCCAGCCAUGCCGCGUGUGUGAAGAAGGUCUUCGGAUUGUAAAGUACUUUAAGUUGGGAGGCGUUACCAACAGAAGAAGCACCGGCUAACUCCGUGCCAGCAGCCGCGGUAAUAC
rnacentral:rRNA from 1 species